UACGUAGGGGGCUAGCGUUGUCCGGAAUCAUUGGGCGUAAAGCGCGCGUAGGCGGCCAGAUAAGUCCGGUGUGAAAGUCACAGGCUCAACCUGUGAAUGCCGCUGGAAACUGUCUGGCUAGAGUCCGGAAGGGGCGAGUGGAAUUCCUGGUGUAGCGGUGAAAUGCGCAGAUAUCAGGAGGAACACCAAUGGCGUAGGCAGCUCGCUGGGACGGUACUGACGCUGAGGCGCGAAAGCCAGGGGAGCGAACGGG
rnacentral:rRNA from 1 species